UUCCUGUGGGUUUAGCAGCUCUCUUAAUAACUGUUGUGAUGAUCAUCAGAUGGAAGAAAACUAAAGGUGAAAACAUUCACAGAUUAAAGUUUAUGAUAAGUUGACUCAUAAGUAAACUCAUCUUUUUUCCUCUUUUCAGAAAAAAAAACACAAUGUGGCAACAACACGGGACUGAGCUUAAACCCUGCAGACACUGAAUCUGGUCCAGGAACCAAUCAGGACACGAUGUGGACUGAUGCUGAUGAUGGUGUGUCAUAUGCCUCCAUCAGCUUCACCAAGAAGAUCAAGAAUAAAGCCCGGGCUGGUGAUGAUGAUGAUGAUGACACUGUGACUUACAGCACAGUGACAGCUGCCUCACCUGCUGGUGUUCCCAAUGAUCCCA